rnacentral:rRNA from 1 species
UACGUAGGGUCCAAGCGUUAAUCGGAAUUACUGGGCGUAAAGCGUGCGCAGGCGGUUCGCAAAGACAGGUGUGAAAUCCCCGGGCUUAACCUGGGAACUGCGCUUGUAACUGGCAAGCUGGAGUGCGGCAGAGGGGGGUGGAAUUCCACGUGUAGCAGUGAAAUGCGUAGAGAUGUGGAGGAACACCGAUGGCGAAGGCAGCCCCCUGGGCUAACACUGACGCUCAUGCACGAAAGCGUGGGGAGCAAACAGG